AUACGGAGGGUGCAAGCGUUAUUCGGAAUCACUGGGCGUAAAGGACGCGUAGGCGGGUUCGCAAGUCAGAUGUGAAAUCCUACAGCUUAACUGUAGAACUGCAUUUGAAACUGCUAACCUAGAGUAUGGGAGGGGGAGAUGGAAUUAGUGGUGUAGGGGUAAAAUCCGUAGAUAUCACUAGGAAUACCGAAAGCGAAGGCGAUCUCCUGGAACAUAACUGACGCUAAGGCGUGAAAGCGUGGGGAGCAAACAGGAUUAGAUACCCUAGUAGUCC
rnacentral:rRNA from 1 species